AAUAAAUACAGUUUUGCACUAUUCAUGUUUAACAUUUGAUCGUUCGUCUUAUUUGAAAAUUUUUUAUGAUUAGUAUUUUUUAUGUGUGACUAAAUAUUUUUAAAUUUUUCAUAAAAUUUUCAAAUAAGACGGACGGUGAAACGUUGGACACGGAUAUCCACGACUACACUAAUG
rfam:Oryza barthii chromosome 2, whole genome shotgun sequence.